CCGGCGACCGGCGCACGGGUGAGUAACACGUAUGGAACCUGCCCGCAGCAGGGGGAUAAGCGGAAGAAAUUCCGUCUAAUACCGCGUAACAACGUUGGGAGGCAUCUCCCGAUGUUUAAAGAUUUAUCGGCUGCGGAUGGCCAUGCGGCGCAUUAGCUAGUCGGCGGGGUAACGGCCCACCGUGGCGACGAUGCGUAGGGGUUCUGAGAGGAAGGUCCCCCACACUGGUACUGAGACACGGACCAGACUCCUACGGGAGGCAGCAG
rnacentral:rRNA from 1 species